ACGAACGCUGGCGGCGUGCUUAACACAUGCAAGUCGAACGGAAAGGCCUGCUUUCCCUUGUGGAUUGCGGGUACUCGAGUGGCGAACGGGUGAGUAACACGUGAGUGAUCUGCCCCCAACUUGGGUAUAAGCCUGGGAAACUGGGUCUAAUUCCCGAUAGGACUGCAGGGUGGUGCCUGUGGUGGAAAACGAUUUUCUAGUGGUUGGGGAUGAGCUCGCGGCCUAUCAGCUUGUUGGUGGGGUAAUGGCCUACCAAGGCGGCGACGGGUAGCCGGCCUGAGAGGGUGGACGGCCACAUUGGGACUGAGAUACGGCCCAGACUCCUACGGGAGGCAGCAGUGGGGAAUAGUGCACAAUGGGCGGAAGCCUGAUGCAGCGACGCCGCGUGGGGGAUGACGGCCUUCGGGUUGUAAACUCCUUUCGACCGCGAGGAAGCCACCUGGUUGGAAGGGUGGUGACGGUAGUGGUAGAAGAAGCACCGGCUAACUACGUG
rnacentral:rRNA from 1 species